UCUGGGGAAGGAAAUAAGGCAAUUAUACCUUAUUCACUUAAGCACAGCAUUGAGUCUACAAAUAGAAGUUCAAUUAUUUUAAAUAGUCACACAACUGCAUGUGUAAAGCAACAGUUACAUUUAACAGUCAUUUGUAAACAUGUGUUUAUACUGAACAUAGAGAAGGCAUAUGAAAUCCAAAGAGAGGACCACUGAGCUUUCUUAUCCAGCUCUGUCUCUACAAUCAGCUCUGCAGCCUGAUGAGAUCAUCUCAGCUGACAAGGGUUCCUGUGUAAUUCUCCAAAGAAAAGAGCUACAAAGUUUAAAGAAUACUAAGAAUCAAACCAGACUUAUGCAUUUUCCAUAUACAAACGAACUUGGAAAGCACUCAUUCCCUCCAUCACUGGACCUGACUGUGUCUAUUAUUACUAACCAUCUUGUUUGUCAACAUAUUUCCCAAUUAAUCUGGGUAAGUGGUCAAUUUUAUCUGACAACUUAACUGGGUCAGGGGUGCA
rnacentral:lncRNA from 1 species